CAGCCGCCACGGGAAUACGAAGGGGGCUAGCGUUGUUCGGAUUUACUGGGCGUAAAGCGCACGUAGGCGGACUUUUAAGUCAGGGGUGAAAUCCCGGGGCUCAACCCCGGAACUGCCUUUGAUACUGGAAGUCUUGAGUAUGGUAGAGGUGAGUGGAAUUCCGAGUGUAGAGGUGAAAUUCGUAGAUAUUCGGAGGAACACCAGUGGCGAAGGCGGCUCACUGGACCAUUACUGACGCUGAGGUGCGAAAGCGUGGGGAGCAAACAGGAUUAGAUACCCCCGUAGUCCCUGUCUCUUAUAC
rnacentral:rRNA from 1 species